rnacentral:lncRNA from 1 species
GAAACUUUGCCUGUGUGUUAUAGAUUAUUUCCUAUUGUAAGAAGUUGCCUCAAAAUUUUGAGAAACAAGAAGACAAUGGGUAUACAAACCAACAAACAUCUUCUCAAACUCCUCCAGAAUCAAUAAAAACACCAAAUAUUUUGUACAAUUCCACCCAUUGUUUGCUUGGACAAGAUGCUACCUUCUAUACUUGACAUGUUAUCCAUGUUUGCAGAAAAGGGACAAAAUUCAGAUCUAAUAUUCCGAUUCUUCUUGAGAGAAUCACACUGGUCCCUGAGGGAUAAGAUUUACACUGAACAGCUGAUUAACUGGAAUGAAGAAUCUGUGCUAAUAGUAUCUUCCGUUUUUAAGAAUUAUAUUAAAAAUAUAAAAGGAAGCUUGCUUUGUUCAGGCUUAUAUGAAAAUUGGAUUAGUGAACUUGAUGAAGAUUCUCUUCUUGCAAAAAUGUCUGCUAUACAAAGAUGUCUAUUAUACAAAUCAUGAUUGACAACUGUGAAGAUAUAUUUGGUGACAAUGACCAUAUAAUUUGUAAUGAUAAUCAGAAAAGGUCAGAUGACUAAAAGACUCCACUAAAUUCUUCUGCAGGAGAUAAUGAAACUUCAACAUAUAAAUUUCCACAACAGAAACUUCCUCAUGACUAAAGA